CCUUGGUGCAAAGAGGAGCCCCUGGUGAGUGAAAGGGAGGGCAGGGAAUAGGAACUUAGGAAUGGAAUAAAUGAAGAAGGGGAACCCUGCUGCAUCAG